rnacentral:miRNA from 1 species
UGUGUGUGUAUGUAUGUGUGCAUGUGUGUGUGUGUGUAUCAAGGAUACAACUAUAAACCUACAUCCUCUUUUGAGGAGGAUACUAAACUC